GAUGAACGCUGGCGGCGUGCCUAAUACAUGCAAGUCGAGCGAACGGACGAGAAGCUUGCUUCUCUGAUGUUAGCGGCGGACGGGUGAGUAACACGUGGAUAACCUACCUAUAAGACUGGGAUAACUUCGGGAAACCGGAACUAAUACCGGAUAAUAUUUUGAACCGCAUGGUUCAAAAGUGAAAGACGGUCUUGCUGUCACUUAUAGAUGGAUCCGCGCUGCAUUAGCUAGUUGGUAAGGUAACGGCUUACCAAGGCAACGAUGCAUAGCCAACCUGAGAGGGUGAUCGGCCACACUGGAACUGAGACACGGUCCAGACUCCUACGGGAGGCAGCAGUAGGGAAUCUUCCGCAAUGGGCGAAAGCCUGACGGAGCAACGCCGCGUGAGUGAUGAAGGUCUUCGGAUCGUAAAACUCUGUUAUUAGGGAAGAACAUAUGUGUAAGUAACUGUGCACAUCUUGACGGUACCUAAUCAGAAAGCCACGGCUAACUACGUG
rnacentral:rRNA from 1 species